rnacentral:rRNA from 1 species
GACGAACGCUGGCGGCACGCUUAACACAUGCAAGUCGAACGAGAGAAGAGAAGCUUGCUUUUCUGCUCUAGUGGCGGACGGGUGAGUAACACGUGAGCAAUCUGCCUUUCAGAGGGGGAUACCGAUUGGAAACGAUCGUUAAUACCGGAUAACAUAAUUGGACCCCCUGAUUUGGUUAUCAAAGUUUGCUCGCUGGAGGAUGAGCUCCCGGCUGAUUAGCUAGUUGGGAAGGUGUCGACUUACCAAGGCGACGCUCAGUAGCCGGACUGGGUGGUUGAUCGGCCACAUUGGGACUUAGACACGGCCCAGACUCCUACGGGAGGAAGCAGGGGGGUAUAUUGCACAACGGAGGAAACGCGGAUGCAGCGAGGCCGCGUGAGGAAAGAAGGUUGGUGGAUUGUAAACCUCUGUCUUCAGGGACGAAAAAAGACGGUACCGGAGGAGGAAGCUCCGGCUAACUACGUG